AAUCCAGUUAUAACAUAUUAUCUUGUCUACCAUUCGAUCUAAAUUUGUUCCCUAUCUAAUUCGAUCACUCAUUCGAUAUGAACUUGUCCCCGAUAUAACAUAUUAUUUAAAUAAAAUUAUAUGCAAUUGUAAACGUGAAGGUGAAGACAAUAACGUUCAACUAAUCUGUGGACCAAAAUAGAUGGCAAAAAAUCUUAAUAAAAUUCAAAAUCUUUAAAUGAGAACAAUUGAUGGACAAGAUGUGGGAUUCACAAUAAUGGAGCAAGAUGAUGAAAUCGAGGAUAAGACAUAGACGCAACAGAGAAUUUCUAUUCUGGGACAAGAUCUGGAGACAAAAACAAAAGUCUGUCACCAAUUGUCUUUUAUCUGAUACAUUAGUCUAUCACCAUCAAGGGCAAUUUCGUCCACAAAUGUGCAUGUGACAAUGAAAUGUGGUAGAUUUUGUAAGAGGAGGAAACUUUUUGUGGUAAAGAUUGUAAGAAAACUCCAAAAAAGUGGUAGAUUUUACAAGAUUCUCGAAUAUAUAUAUAUGCUCACGCAUACAUUUAAAGAGUCACA
rnacentral:sRNA from 1 species